rnacentral:rRNA from 1 species
UACGUAGGCAGCAAGCGUUGUUCGGAGUUACUGGGCGUAAAGGGCGCGUAGGCGGCCUUCUAAGUCAGACGUGAAAUCCCCCGGCCUAACCUGGGAACUGCGUCUGAUACUGGGAGGCUUGAGUAUGGGAGAGGGAUGUAGAAUUCCAGGUGUAGCGGUGAAAUGCGUAGAUAUCUGGAGGAAUACCGGUGGCGAAGGCGGCAUCCUGGACCAUAACUGACGCUGAGGCGCGAAAGCUAGGGGAGCAAACGGG